UACGUAGGGACCGAGCGUUGUCCGGAAUCAUUGGGCGUAAAGAGCGUGUAGGCGGCCAACUAAGUCCUGCGUGAAAUCUCGGGGCUCAACCCCGAGCGGUCGGGGGAAACUGGUUGGCUAGAGUGCGGGAGAGGAGAGUGGAAUUCCUGGUGUAGCGGUGAAAUGCGCAGAUAUCAGGAAGAACACCCGUGGCGAAGGCGGCUCUCUGGAACGCAACUGACGCUGAGACGCGAAAGCGUGGGGAGCAAACAGG
rnacentral:rRNA from 1 species